CGGCCCGCGGAAAGCCGGCAGAUGUCCCCGGUGCGGGAGCCGGGGAGGCGAUGCUCCCUGCGCAGCCGGCGCUCCGCGCUCCGUGCCCACGCCGUGCUCGCACUGGGGCAGGACCGCCCCGGCCCUCCUUAAAACCCACAAGGGGAGUUGUGAAACAGGAAUUCUGGUUUGUAUUGUAAUACAACACCGGUCUAUCAGCAGCACCACCACCUGCGGUAAUCUCCUCAGCAUCUGCCACGGCAGGUGACUCACCUGCGGGGCUGCUGUCACCAAAUAGCUUAUCAGGAGUGAACGGACUGAUUUUUCCUGCUCCUCCUGACGAUAAGAGGAUCCACUGCCAUCCCGCUCUUUGUCCGGCUCUUCCGCGUUGCGCUGGGUUGUUGUCAAACCGAGGUCUGAGUAGGUGGAGGAGGAAAGGAGGAGAGUUUGUUCUCUGGGUCACUCGGGCUGUGUGUCCCCAGGUCAGGCUGGAAGGGCUGGGGGAAGUCCAAGGGAAGGCAGGCGGGUGCCCAUGGAAUGUCAACCGGGCUGUGAGGGGGGCACCUCGGGGAUGGUUGAGGGUCCUGGAUCUUUGAUUAGCCAGGAAUAACCAAUCCCUCUGGGAUGGAGUGGUUUGCCUUAGCCUGGCAGGAUGGGAGGGAGGCCGAGGUGUGCAGGAGGCAGCACCCCAGAGGGGUGAGGGUGGCCCAGGGAGCGGGCUGGGGUCGGGGAGGCUGCUGCUGCCCUCUGCACACUCAUGCCGGAGGUGCUGGGUGUGCAGGAUGUGCCGAGCAAUUAAUUACCCCCUUCUCCUGUGGAAAUCCAGCUUUCCCAACGGCCCUGCUGCUGCCAGCAGCAGACAGCAGAGCACCCACAGGCCUGCAGCUCCUCAGGGAGCUGUGCCAUCGCUGUGCCAUCGCUGUGCCAUCGCUGUGCCAUCGCUNNNNNNNNNNGCUGUGCCAUCGCUGUGCCAUCGCUGUGCCAUCGCUGUGCCAUCGCUGUGCCAGCUCACCCCUGCCAGCAGCGAUCCUGCCCGCUCCCACAGCCUGGCCAGGCAUCCACCUGGGCUCUGCAGGGGCUGAUUCCCAAGCGACACUCUGGUUUGGGACUUUGAGGAGAUGA
rnacentral:lncRNA from 1 species